rnacentral:rRNA from 1 species
UACGUAGGGACCAAGCGUUGUUCGGAUUUACUGGGCGUAAAGGGCGCGUAGGCGGCUUGACAAGUCACUUGUGAAAUCUCCGGGCUUAACUCGGAACGGCCAAGUGAAACUGUCAUGCUAGAGUGCAGAAGGGGCAAUCGGAAUUCUUGGUGUAGCGGUGAAAUGCGUAGAUAUCAAGAGGAACACCUGAGGUGAAGACGGGUUGCUGGGCUGACACUGACGCUGAGACACGAAAGCCAGGGGAGCGAACGGG